AAGUCGUAACAAGGUUUCCGUAGGUGAACCUGCGGAAGGAUCAUUAACGAGUUCUGAAAUGGGUUGUAGCUGGCUUCUCAUUCGUUUGGGAGGCAACGUGCUCGCCUUGCUCAAUCCACUCUACACCUGUGAACUAACUGUGGGUCUCGGUGGGUUAAGCUUUCGUCCCGGAAGGGUCGUCCGCUUCAAAACCUGGCCUACGUUUUCUUACAAACUCUUUUAAAAGUAAUGAGAAUGUGCAUUGCGAUAUUAUAACGCAUUUAUAUACAACUUUCAGCAACGGAUCUCUUGGCUCUC
rnacentral:misc_RNA from 1 species